rnacentral:rRNA from 1 species
GACGAACGCUGGCGGCGUGCUUAACACAUGCAAGUCGAGCGGUAAGGCCCUUUCGGGGUACGACGAGCGGCGAACGGGUGAGUAACACGUGGGUGACCUGCCCUCAGCUCUGGGAUAAGCCUGGGAAACCGGGUCUAAUACCGGAUAUGACUCCAUGACGCAUGUUGUGGGGUGGAAAGCCUUGUGCGGCUGAGGAUGGGCCCGCGGCCUAUCAGCUUGUUGGUGGGGUGAUGGCCUACCAAGGCGACGACGGUAGCCGGCCUGAGAGGGCGACCGGCCACACUGGGACUGAGACACGGCCCAGACUCCUACGGGAGGCAGCAGUGGGGAAUCUUGCGCAAUGGGCGAAAGCCUGACGCAGCGACGCCGCGUGAGGGAUGACGGCC